UACGUAGGGUGCGAGCGUUGUCCGGAUUUAUUGGGCGUAAAGGGCUCGUAGGCGGCCUGUCGCGUCGGAAGUGAGAGCCCACUGCUUAACGGUGGGUCUGCUUCCGGUACGGGCAGGCUGGAGUAUGGCAGGGGAGACUGGAAUUCCUGGUGUAGCGGUGGAAUGCGCAGAUAUCAGGAGGAACACCGGUGGCGAAGGCGGGUCUCUGGGCCAUUACUGACGCUGAGGAGCGAAAGCGUGGGGAGCGAACGGGAUUAGAUACCCUCGUAGUCC
rnacentral:rRNA from 1 species